rnacentral:rRNA from 1 species
GAUGAACGCUGGCGGCGUGCCUAACACAUGCAAGUCGAACGAGGGCUAUCGGUUGAAGUUUUCGGAUGGAAACUGAUAAUUCCUAGUGGCGGACGGGUGUGUAACGCGUGGGGAACCUGCCCCAUUCCGGGGGAUACCAGUUGGAAACGACUGUUAAUACCGCGUAAGCGCACAGCAUUGCAUGAUGCAGUGUGAAAAACUGAGGUGGAAUGGGAUGGCCCCGCGUCUGAUUAGCCAGUUGGCAGGGUAACGGCCUACCAAAGCGACGAUCAGUAGCCGGCCUGAGAGGGCGACCGGCCACAUUGGGACUGAGACACGGCCCAAACUCCUACGGGAGGCAGCAGUGGGGAAUAUUGCACAAUGGGGGAAACCCUGAUGCAGCGACGCCGCGUGAGUGAAGAAGUAUUUCGGUAUGUAAAGCUCUAUCAGCAGGGAAGAAGAUGACGGUACCUGCACAAGAAGCCCCGGCUAACUACGUGCCAGCAGCCGCGGUAAUACGUAGGGGGCAAGCGUUAUCCGGAUUUACUGGGUGUAAAGGAAGCGUAGACGGAAGAUCAAGUCAGGUGUGAAAGGCAGGGGCUCAACUCCUGGAAUGCACUU